UACAGGAGGUGGCAAGCGUUGUUCGGAAUUACUGGGCGUAAAGGGCGCGUAGGCGCCUUCUAAGUCAGACGUGAAAUCCCCAGGCUUAACUUGGGAACUGCGUCUGAUACUGGGAGGCUUGAAUGCGGGAGAGGGAUGUGAAGAUUCCAGGUGUAGCGGUGAAAUGCGUAGAUAUCUGGAGGAAUACCGGUGGCGAAGGCGGCAUCCUGGACCGGCAUAGUACGACUGAGGAGGCGAAAAGCUGGGAGG
rnacentral:rRNA from 1 species